UAAUGGUGAAGGAGAGGGAGUUGCUUCACUCCUUCUUUUUCUUCUCCAACUUCUACCUCCUCUUCUUUUCGUUUCCAACUUCUUCACUACAACAGAAUUAGGUUAUAGGGACACAUGUUUGGGACACUUUUGAGUAAGUGUCCCAUUUAUACUAAAACUUAAAAAAACAUCUACUAAUGCCUAAAUAUAAAGCCCAAUCCAACCAAAAAUAAAAGAUUACUCUACUCAACCCACCACACCGAAUCCAUUUAGCCCGAUUACAAACAGAAAAGAAAAAAAAAAAGAAAAAUCAAUUACCAUCUUUUCUUCUCUCUUCACUCAAUCCACUGAAAUUCUAGACGAAGAGCCUUUCCUGUCGUCCUCCUCCGCCACCGCAGCCAAUGAGAUAGAGUUUUGACGGUUGCUAAAUGCUUAAAUAAGUGUUGGUAAAUUAGCAGCACUCUUUUAGGUUAUAGCGACACUCUUUAACUGUCACUAUAUACCUAGCGACCCCACAUAUAGCAACACUUUUUAAAAGUGUCGGUAAUUUUAGCUAGCAGCACUUUUUUGACAUGUACCUACAUUUAAAAGUGUCGCUAUAGACUGUUUUUGUUGUAGUGCUU
rnacentral:lncRNA from 1 species